rnacentral:rRNA from 1 species
AUUAAUGCAGAUAGUGGAUGCCUAGGCUUAUCUGGCCGAUGAAGGACGCUUACCCCGCGAAAGUGGUUGGGUAACUGGGAAAAAGUUAUGAUCCAACCGUGUCCGAAUUGAGAAAUCACGCUACGUGAGAGCGUAGUGGCCCUAAUUUUUAUUAAUUAGGUGGGUAACCUCCCGAACUGAAAUAUCUAAGUAGGGAGAGGAAAAGAAAACGUAAGAGAUUCCCCGAGUAAGCGACGAGCGAAAAGGGACUAGUCCAAACCCGGAAUUUAUUCCGGGGGUUGUAGGACCUCAACAUUCGACUUUAAAGGAUAGAAGAACACUUUGGAAUGAGUGAUCAAAGAGGGUGAUAAUCCCGUAAGCGAAAUCUAAUAAAGCGAUAGAGGAUUCCUGAGUAGGUUAGGAGACGGCAAACUCCUUUCUGAAUCUGGGGUGACCACACUCCAAGACUAAAUACCAGAUAAGACCGAUAGUGAACGAGUACCGUGAGGGAAAGGUGAAAAGAAGGGUUGAAGACCCCGUGAAAUAGAACCUGAAACCAUCUGCUAACAAUCAGACAAAGCACAUUUAUUGUGUAAUGUCGUGCCUAUUGAAGAAUGAGCCGGCGAGUAUUUGACAACUGCUUAGGUUAAGACAUUUCGUGUCGAAGCCGUAGUGAAAGCGAGCGUGAAUAGCGCGAAUCUGUAGUUGUUGAAUGACCCGAAACCGGGUGAGCUUACCAUGACCAGGAUGAAGCCCUGAUAAUAUCGGGGUGGAGGUCCGCACCGGUGUAUGCUGCAAGAUGCUCGGAUGAGUUGUGGUAAGAGGUAAUAUGCCAAUCGAACCCGGAGAUAGCUGGUUCUCCCUGAAAUAUAUUUAGGUAUAGGGUUACGUGAAGUUGCGAGGGGGUAGAGCACUGAUCUGGUGUCUUGAGAGAAAUCUUAAGCGCCUAGUCAAACUCCGAAUACCUCGUAAUGUUUCGUAGCACUCAGCACCUGGGAGCUAAGUUCCAGGAGCAAAAGGAAAACAAACCAGACCUACAGCUAAGGUCUCAAAUUACAUAUUUAGUGGCAAAAGAAGUGUUAUUCCUAACACACCUAGGAGGUCGGCUCAGAAGCAGCCAUCCUUUAAAGAAAGCGUAACAGCUCACUAGCCGAGGAAUAAUGCGCUGAAAAUCCAACGAGGCUCAAAUAUGUAACCGAAGCUUAGGGUUCUGCUGUAGAACAAAGAGAGUUAAAUAAUCGCAACAUUGGGAUUUUUGCAAAUCACGAUACAGCGCGAGAAUAAUUAAACUGAAUUUCUGAAUUCAGUUUAGAGUAAUUGUUCGGAUUGGACAAAUCCGAAUCAAUUAUUUUUAACUAGUUUUGUUCUACAGCGGAGCGGUAAGGGAGCGUUCUGUGUGCUUUGAAGCCAGCCCGUGAGGAGUUGGUGGAGCAAUCAGAAGUGAGAAUGCCGGCAUGAGUAGCGAAAUUGGGGUGAGAAUCCCCGACUCCGAAUGACCAAGGUUUCCGCACCCACGUUCGUCGUGUGCGGGUUAGGCGACCCUAAGGUGAGCCCUCGUUAAUGAGGGGUAGCCGAUGGAUUACUGGCUAAUAUUCCAGUCCUUGGUUAGAAUCAUUUGACUUGGGGAGGGACGGUGAUGGAUAACAUGUGAGCAGCGGUGAAUGUUGCUUCGAAUCAUCAAAGCAGUCUAGAUAGGAAAAUCCGUCUAGGCGUUUAUCUGAGAUGUCAUAGAACUCUGAUUCCUUCGGGAAGACGAGCUACAUGCGAUUUCAUUAUCCCGGAAAAGCUUCGCAAGGAGAUUCUAAUCAAAUCGUACCGAUAACCGACACAGGUAGUCAGGUCGAGUAGACCAAGGAGAGCGAGAGAAAAUAGUUUAAGGAACUCGGCAAAACAGCUGGGCGUAAUUUCGAGAGAUGCCCUCCUCUUUGUACUUCGGUACAAAGAGGCGCAGUGAAUGUCAUGAGGUUGACUGUUUACCAAAAACACAGGUCUGUGCAAACUCGUAAGAGGAAGUAUACGGGCUGAAGCCUGCCCAGUGCCGGAAGGUUAAUUGAGGGGGUUUUGUCUAAUUUAUUAGAUAAGGCCUCUGAUCGAAGCCCCGGUGAACGGCAGCAGUAACUAUAACUGUUCUAUGGUAGCGAAGUUCCUUGUCACUUAAUUGGUGACCCGCACGAAAGGUUUAACAAGCCUCAUACUGUCUUGAACUAUUACUCGGCGAAAUUGAAAUGGCUGUGAAGAUGCGGCCUACUGACAGCAGGACAAAAAGACCCCGUAGAGCUUUACUACAACUUGGCACUGACGGUGAAUAUAGGAUUGUUUAGAAUAGGCGGGAGGAAACUUCAUUUAUGACGUUUCCGACCAGUGAAAUACCGCCCGUUUUGUAUUUAUCAUCUAACUUAAUCACACUGCAAACGUGUGAAAGAACACUGUCUGGUGGGUAGUUUAACUGGGGAGGUUGCUUGCUAAAGAGUAACGCAAGCGCGCAAUGGUAUUCUUAGCCUGGAUAGAAAUCAGGCUGGACGUGCAAUAGCAUAAGAAUGCUUUACUGUGAGGCAUACAAGCCGAGCAGUUGCGAAAGCAGGUUAUAGUGAUCCUCGUGUGUUUUGUGGAAGACACCGGGCUUAUCGGAUAAAAGUUACCUCGGGGAUAACAGAGUCAUCGCGCCUAAGCGUCCCUAGCGUCGGCGCGGUUUGCUACCUCGAUGUCGGCUCAUCGCAUCCUGGGGCUGAAGAAGGUCCCAAGGGUUAGUCUGUUCGCCUAUUAAAGCGGUACGCGAGCUGGGUUCAGACCGUCGUGAGACAGGUCGGCCUCUAUCCGCUGUCAGCGUUAGAUAGUUGAGAGAAUUUGCUCCUAGUACGAGAGGACCGGAGUGAGGGAAUCCCUAGUGUUCCUGUUGUUGCUGUCAAGCGCAAUGCAGGGUAGCUACAUUCCUUAUGGAUAACCGCUGAAAGCAUCUAAGCGGGAAGCCAAUCUCAAGAUUAACUAUCUCCAUUAGACCCGUGGGAGACCACCACGUUGAUAGGUAGUCGGUGUAAGCCUGGUGACAGGCUGAGCCUAACUAUACUAAGUGUUGACUGAACAUA